UACAGAGGGUGCAAGCGUUGUUCGGAAUUAUUGGGCGUAAAGGGCGUGUAGGCGGCUAGGAAAGUCUUCUGUGAAAUCUACGGGCUCAGCCUGUAACGUGCAGAGGAAACUAUCUGGCUAGAGUGUCGGAGAGGAUAGGGGAAUACCCGGUGUAGAGGUGAAAUUCGUAGAGAUCGGGUGGAACACCAGUGGCGAAGGCGCCUGUCUGGCUGACAACUGACGCUGAGACUCGAAAGCAUGGGGAGCAAACAGG
rnacentral:rRNA from 1 species